rnacentral:rRNA from 1 species
GAUGAACGCUAGCUACAGGCUUAACACAUGCAAGUCGAGGGGCAGCGCAGUGUAGCAAUACAUGGGCGGCGACCGGCGCACGGGUGCGUAACGCGUAUCCAACCUUCCCGUUACUCAGGGAUAGCCUUCCGAAAGGGAGAUUAAUACCUGAUGGUGUUUGAAUUCCGCAUGUUAUUCAAACUAAAGAUUUAUCGGUAACGGAUGGGGAUGCGUGACAUUAGAUAGUAGGCGGGGUAACGGCCCACCUAGUCUACGAUGUCUAGGGGUUCUGAGAGGAAGGUCCCCCACACUGGAACUGAGACACGGUCCAGACUCCUACGGGAGGCAGCAGUGAGGAAUAUUGGUCAAUGGUCGGAAGACUGAACCAGCCAAGUAGCGUGAAGGAUGAAGGUUCUAUGGAUUGUAAACUUCUUUUAUACGGGAAUAAAACCUCCCACGUGUGGGAGCUUGUAUGUACCGUAUGAAUAAGCAUCGGCUAACUCCGUGCCAGCCGCCGCCGUAAAAC